CCCUCCCCUACCGUGGUGCGGACUGCAGUAUUAGCGGUCUCCUUGGAGUCCUGAAGCAGCUCAAGGGCAUCGUCCUUGGAAAAGAUGGUUCUGUUAGAUAAAUGUCUUCCCAAGUUAAAGGCACAUGGCUCCGAAGUACUAAUAUUCUCUGAGGGGCACCAUAACAUAUGAAAAUUUUGAAGAGCUUUGUGAAGAUUUGUGGGAGCAGCUCCGACUCCAAUUAAAGAAGUUCCACGCAGCGGGCAUGAAGAUUGGUCACAUCUAUAUGUUUAGUUGUGC